UACAGAGGUGGCAAGCGUUGUUCGGAAUUACUGGGCGUAAAGGGCGCGUAGGCGGCCUACUAAGUCAGACGUGAAAUCCCCCGGCUUAACCUGGGAACUGCGUCUGAUACUGGAAGGCUUGAGUAUGGGAGAGGGAUGUAGAAUUCCAGGUGUAGCGGUGAAAUGCGUAGAUAUCUGGAGGAAUACCGGUGGCGAAGGCGGCAUCCUGGACCGAGAUUGACACUGAUGAGCGAAAGCUAGGGGAGCAAACGGG
rnacentral:rRNA from 1 species